rnacentral:lncRNA from 1 species
UAUCAAGAUUCUUGCAAGAACUUUGUGUUUUCACAUUGUUGAUCCAAUCUACACUCCAUGUGUAUUAUGUUGUGAUCAAUAUUCAUCUAUAAUCAAGGUUGAUUGUGUUUCCCUAUUGUUGUGAGCCAGGAAGGGGACUUUGUGAGUUCUAGUUCUUAGAGUGGAGAUUGCUCUAAGGUGACAGAAAGUGGGGAUAACUUUAUGCGAUAAGACUGUGAGGUAUUCGGGUCUUGUUCUAUAGUUGAUAUUGAGUUAUGGAGAGGAGAGUACAUUUAAUAGGGUUGCUCUCUGUAUGUUUUGCUUGUGAAACUCUAUCAAUAUAGUGGAUCCCAUCAUCUCAGGUUGAUUGAAGGAAGAUUGGAUGUAGGCAUUGGUCGAACUAAUAUAAGCAUUUGUGUUAAUCUUUCUAUCCUUCUCUUUUGAUAUUAUUCAUAUACUUGUUUGAUUGCAUUCCAAGAAAACUUCAAAGAUUUCAAAAAACUUUUGAAAGAACAAGUUUUUAUAAGGAAAAAUCAAUUCACCUCCCUCUUGGUUGAGAUAAUUGGCCUAACUUUUUCUAAAGUAUUUUCUUUUAAUGCAAAUCAGGAUGCUCUCUUCUUUUUCUCUCUUUUCUCUCUUUUUAUUCUUUCUCUUCUAUCUCUUUCUUUGUCUUUCUCCUUUCUUUCUGUAUUUUCUUUCUCCUCCCUCGCUCUCUUUUCCUUCUCUUCUUUUUCUCUCUUAUUUCUUUCUUUAGUCUCUCUCUUUUCUUUCUCUUCUUUUCCUCUAUGUUCUCUUUCUUGCAUUUCUAUAAGUACUUCAUUCUUUUGUACACUUUUAAGCUUUCGUUCUUGUCUUCUUUUUAAAGCAUCUAAAUUUUGCAAAGUUCUUUUAUCCUCUUUUUUCAAAUAUAAAAUGUAGUUCUUGAGGUCUUCAUUAGUAGUCAUGGGACUUGCAAUCCAAUUAGAACACUAAUGAGUUUUAUUCCCACAACCUUUACAUUUGGAAUAUCUUAUAGAACUUAAUUCAAUCCUUAAGAAAACAUUUUUGUCACGCUUGUGCUUCCUUUUAAUAUUAAAAGUUUUACUAUUUAACUCUACAAUUUUGGACUCCAAGGCAUUGACAUUCUCCUUCAAGGCAUUGACAUUCUCCACCAAGGUCUCAUG